UACGAAGGGGGCUAGCGUUGAUCGGAAUUACUGGGCGUAAAGCGCACGUAGGCGGACUAUUAAGUCAGGGGUGAAAUCCCGGAGCUCAACUCCGGAACUGCCUUUGAUACUGGUAGCCUAGAGAUCGGAAGAGGUGAGUGGAAUUCCCAGUGUAGAGGUGAAAUUCGUAGAUAUUGGGAAGAACACCAGUGGCGAAGGCGGCUCACUGGUCCGAUACUGACGCUGAGGUGCGAAAGCGUGGGGAGCAAACAGG
rnacentral:rRNA from 1 species